rnacentral:rRNA from 1 species
UAAUACGUAGGGGGCGAGCGUUGUCCGGAAUUAUUGGGCGUAAAGAGCUCGUAGGCGGUCCAUUAAGUCGGAAGUGAAAUCUCAGGGCUCAACCCUGAAAUUGCUUUCGAUACUGGCGGACUUGAGGCAAGUAGGGGAGAGCGGAAUUCCUGGUGUAGCGGUGAAAUGCGCAGAUAUCAGGAGGAACACCGGUGGCGAAGGCGGCUCUCUGGGCUUGUUCUGACGCUGAGGAGCGAAAGCGUGGGGAGCGAACAGGAUUAGAUACCCUGGUAGUCCACGCCGUAAACGAUGGGUGCUAGGUGUGGGGGGUUAUCCACUCCCUCCGUGCCGUAGCUAACGCAUUAAGCACCCCGCCUGGGGAUUACGACCGCAAGGUUA